ensembl:lncRNA
CAUUUGUGUUGGAAGGUCCGUGUCCUCCAUUAGACUUCAAGGACAUGAACGGCUACCAACGUGAAGACUCUGAACUCAGAGCUGGGAAGAGAUGCACCCACAAGCAUGAACUGACGCAGCUCCGCGGGAGCAGAGCCGGGAAAGGAACCUAGAUUCAGGACUCUGCCCACUGCGCCAGACCACACCUCGCUGUCCUCUUAGCAGAAAUCAUGACCACGCAGUUCAGGGCUGAGCCCCACACUCUGGUGCUUUUGACCACAGCCAGAACGAAAUCAGAAAUCAGACUGAGUCCUUAGGAAUGUGGUAUGACUGGGGAAGCACCUGAGGGCCCAAGCCCCUGCACUUGUGUCCUUUGAGGGGAAAGUGGAAGAGGUGAGAGAAUGAUUCUGAGAACUAUGGGUGGAGUCUUGGCAAACUUCAGAGGCCAAAGAGAAGACAUUUAUGCCAGCUGGCCUUGGACGAUUGUAACCAGAAACGCUGUGGUGGUAUUGUGAUUGGGUGGAAGGCAGAGUGAGGUCAUGCUGGGAGAAGUGGGACAAAGAGGAGGGCAUGCUUCAUCUUUUUUGCAUUUCCUUCAGGGCUAACUUAAGAAAACAGCAAAAAUUAAGUUCACAUGAAAAUCACUUUAAAAAACAAAAGAAGUAUCUGCUAAGAGCCUCCAAAACUCUGGGAUUCUAGAGACAGCUGUUGUUUGGAGACGUUCCCUUGCAAGGAGUUCAGGCCUCUGCUGGUCCUUCCUUGUUCAGCACUCCAGUUCACAGAAUCAUAAAAUUAUAGGGUUUAUUUUAGAGAUGAGAAAAACCUGAGGCCCAGAGAGGUGACAUAAUUUGCCCAAGAUUGCGCCACUAUUUAUUAGGUCAGCAGCAGCUAGAAUUCAAAUUUCCUAGGUCUAGUCUAGCCUUGGAUCUUAAUGUAGAUCCCUAGACAUUAAAAAGUAUGUCUCUAAGUUAUCUUUUGUUAAAAAUUAUUGUAAUAGAAAUGCAUGGCUAUAAUAGAAAAUCUGUAAGGUAUAGAACAUUAAAAAAUGACAAUAAAAAUGACCAUUACGGGGCCAGCCCCUCGGUGUAGUGCUUGGGCUUGGCAUGCUCUGCUUUGGCAGCCCAGGUUCUCAAGUUCAGAUCCCAGACGCAGACCUACACUGCUCGUCAGCCAUGCUGUGGCGGUGACCCACAUAUAAAGUGGAAGAAGAUUGGCACAGGUCUAAUCUUCCUCAGCAAAAAGAAAAAAGAAAAGAAAAGAAAAAAGACCAUUAUGCUGCCACUCAAUCACUGUGAAUCAUGUAUGCUUGCUCCCACCUAGACCAGUGGUUCUCAGCCUCACUGCAUAGUAGUGUCAUCAGGAGGCCUUGUAAAAAUCUCUAUGAAGGGUUGAAAAAUCCCAAUGUCCAGGUUGUACUCCUAAGGAAUUAGAUGAGAAUCUUGGGGUUGGGGGCAGCAAGCAUCAGUAUUAUUUGAAGCUCCUCAGAUGAUGCAAGUGUGCGCCCAAGGUUGAAGACCACUGGACUAGAAUAUUCUCCUCCCAUAUCUUUGCAUAGCUGGCUCCUUCCCAUUGGUCACUUCUCAGUGUUAGCUCCUCAGAGUGGCCUGUCCUCACCACUGCUCCUAAAGCAGUUCCCUCCCAUCCAGUCAUCCUCGAUCCCGACCCUUUUUGAUGUUCUUUGUGGUCUGUAUCAUUAUUUGAAAUUAUCUUAAAUGGAUGCAGGUAUCUGUUUGUUUUCCAUCUCCCUCCUUUAGCAAGUAAGUCCACGGAGGUGGGCCCCUUAACUGUCUUCUUCAUAGCUGUAACCCAAUGCCCUUGCAGUCCCAGGAGCUGGAGGCCCCCGAAACGCAUUUGAUGAAUGAGUGAACGGAUUUAUGGUUACUUCUUCAUCUUUCUUCAUGUGUAUGUAAACAUAUGCAUAUACUUAUAUAUACACAUACACAUGCAACAAAAUUGUGUGUUUUAAAAAUAUAUUUCAGGGACUGGCCUGGUGGUGUAGUGGUUGGGUUCGUGUGCUCCCUUCAGCCGCCCAGGGUUCUCAGGUUCCCAGGCACAGACUUGCACAACGCUCAUCAAGCCAUACUGUGGCGGUGUCCCACAUACAAAAAAGUAGGUGGCAUAGAUGUUAGCUCAGGGACAGUCUUCCUCAAGCAAAAAGAGGAAGAUCGGCAACAGUUGUUAGCUCAGGGCCAAUCUUCUUCACCAGAAAAAAAAUGUAUAUAUAUAAAUAUGUAUACUUCAGAGCCAGCCUUGAUGAUCUAGUGGUUAAAGUUCGGCGUUCUCAUUGUUUUGAUGUCUGGGGUUUGUUUCCUGGUCAUGGAACCACACCACCCGUCUGUUGGUUGCCAUGCUGUGGCAGCAGCUCACAAAGAAGAACUAGAAGGACUUACAACUAGGAUAUACAACCAUGCACUGGGCCUUUGGGGAGAGAAAAAAAAAGAGGAUUGGCAACAGACGUUAGCUUAGGG